CGGACAGUGUCUGGUGGGUAGUUUGACUGGGGCGGUCUCCUCCUAAAGAGUAACGGAGGAGCACGAAGGUUGGCUAAUCCUGGUCGGACAUCAGGAGGUUAGUGCAAUGGCAUAAGCCAGCUUGACUGCGAGCGUGACGGCGCGAGCAGGUGCGAAAGCAGGUCAUAGUGAUCCGGUGGUUCUGAAUGGAAGGGCCAUCGCUCAACGGAUAAAAGGUACUCCGGGGAUAACAGGCUGAUACCGCCCAAGAGUUCAUAUCGACGGCGGUGUUUGGCACCUCGAUGUCGGCUCAUCACAUCCUGGGGCUGAAGUAGGUCCCAAGGGUAUGGCUGUUCGCCAUUUAAAGUGGUACGCGAGCUGGGUUUAGAACGUCGUGAGACAGUUCGGUCCCUAUCUGCCGUGGGCGCUGGAGAACUGAGGGGGGCUGCUCCUAGUACGAGAGGACCGGAGUGGACGCAUCACUGGUGUUCGGGUUGUCAUGCCAAUGGCACUGCCCGGUAGCUAAAUGCGGAAGAGAUAAGUGCUGAAAGCAUCUAAGCACGAAACUUGCCCCGAGAUGAGUUCUCCCUGAGACUUUAGGUCUCCUGAAGGAACGUUGAAGACGACGACGUUGAUAGGCCGGGUGUGUAAGCGCAGCGAUGCGUUGAGCUAACCGGUACUAAUGAACCGUGAGGCUUAACCUUACA
rnacentral:rRNA from 1 species